AGAGUUUGAUCCUGGCUCAGAACGAACGCUGGCGGCAGGCCUAAAACAUGCAAGUUGAACGCUGUAGCAAUACAGAGUAGCGCACGGGUGCGUAACACGUGGGAAUAUGCCUUUUGGUACGGAACAACUUUUGGAAACGAAAGCUAAUACCGUAUGGUCCCUCCGGGGUAAAGAUUUAUCGCCAAAAGAGUAGCCCGCGCCUGAUUAGCUAGUUGGUGAGGUAAUGGCUCACCAAGGCGACGAUCAGUAGCUGGUCUGAGGGGACGAUCAGCCACACUGGGACUGAGACACGGCCCAGACUCCUACGGGAGGCAGCAGUUAGGAAUCUUGGACAAUGGGCGAAAGCCUGAUCCAGCCAUGCCGCGUGAGUGAUGAAGGCCUUCGGGUUGUAAAGCUCUUUAGCCGACGAAUAUAAUGACUGUAGUCGGAGAAUAAGCCCCGGCUAACUUCGUGCCAGCAGCCGCGGUAAUACGAAGGGGGCGAGCGUUGUUCGGAAUCACUGGGCGUAAAGCGUGCGUAGGCGGUUAUAAAAGUUAGGAGUGAAAUCCCAGGGCUCAACCUUGGAAUUGCUUUUAAAACUAUAUAACUCGAAUUCGGGAGAGGAUAGCGGAAUUGUCAGUGUAGCAGUGAAAUGCGUAGAUAUUGACAGGAACACCAGUGGCGUAAGCGGCUAUCUGGACCGACAUUGACGCUGAGGCACGAAAGCGUGGGGAUCAAACAGGAUUAGAUACCCUGGUAGUCCACGCCGUAAACGAUGUGUGUUUGUCGCUGGGGAGUUUACUCUUCGGUGACGGAGCUAACGCGUUAAGCACACCGCCUGGGAAGUACGGUCGCAAGAUUAAAACUCAAAGGAAUUGACGG
rnacentral:rRNA from 1 species